rnacentral:rRNA from 1 species
GACGAACGCUGGCGGCGUGCUUAACACAUGCAAGUCGAACGGAAAGGCCCUGCUUUUGUGGGGUGCUCGAGUGGCGAACGGGUGAGUAACACGUGAGUAACCUGCCCUUGACUUUGGGAUAACUUCAGGAAACUGGGGCUAAUACCGGAUAGGAGCUCCUGCUGCAUGGUGGGGGUUGGAAAGUUUCGGCGGUUGGGGAUGGACUCGCGGCUUAUCAGCUUGUUGGUGGGGUAGUGGCUUACCAAGGCUUUGACGGGUAGCCGGCCUGAGAGGGUGACCGGCCACAUUGGGACUGAGGUGCGGCCCAGACUCCUACGGGAGGCAGCAGUGGGGAAUAUUGCACAAUGGGCGGAAGCCUGAUGCAGCAACGCCGCGUGCGGGAUGACGGCCUUCGGGUUGUAAACCGCUUUCGCCUGUGACGAAGCGUGAGUGACGGUAAUGGGUAAAGAAGCACCGGCUAAGUACGUG